rnacentral:rRNA from 1 species
AGAGUUUGAUCCUGGCUCAGAUUGAACGCUGGCGGCAGGCCUAACACAUGCAAGUCGAGCGGUAACAGGGAGAAGCUUGCUUCUCUGCUGACGAGCGGCGGACGGGUGAGUAAUGUAUGGGGAUCUGCCUGAUGGAGGGGGAUAACUACUGGAAACGGUAGCUAAUACCGCAUGAUGUCUUCGGACCAAAGCGGGGGACCUUCGGGCCUCGCGCCAUCAGAUGAACCCAUAUGGGAUUAGCUAGUAGGUGAGGUAAUGGCUCACCUAGGCGACGAUCUCUAGCUGGUCUGAGAGGAUGAUCAGCCACACUGGGACUGAGACACGGCCCAGACUCCUACGGGAGGCAGCAGUGGGGAAUAUUGCACAAUGGGCGCAAGCCUGAUGCAGCCAUGCCGCGUGUAUGAAGAAGGCCUUAGGGUUGUAAAGUACUUUCAGUCGGGAGGAAGGUGUUGAGUUUAAUAUGCUCAGCAAUUGACGUUACCGACAGAAGAAGCACCGGCUAACUCCGUGCCAGCAGCCGCGGUAAUACGGAGG